rnacentral:rRNA from 1 species
CCCUAGCUGGUCUGAGAGGAUGACCAGCCACACUGGAACUGAGACACGGUCCAGACUCCUACGGGAGGCAGCAGUGGGGAAUAUUGCACAAUGGGCGCAAGCCUGAUGCAGCCAUGCCGCGUGUAUGAAGAAGGCCUUCGGGUUGUAAAGUACUUUCAGCGGGGAGGAAGGUGUUGUGGUUAAUAAGCGCAGCAAUUGACGUUACCCGCAGAAGAAGCACCGGCUAACUCCGUGCCAGCAGCCGCGGUAAUACGGAGGGUGCAAGCGUUAAUCGGAAUUACUGGGCGUAAAGCGCACGCAGGCGGUCUGUCAAGUCGGAUGUGAAAUCCCCGGGCUCAACCUGGGAACUGCAUUCGAAACUGG